AUGACACUCCUGUAUAUUAUUGUUGAAAAUGUAGCUCUAUAGUCUAAAGUUAACAAGCCUUUGCUAGCUCUGGAACACAACUACGGAAUUGAAUGAAAAUGUUGCUGAAUUGCGGUCGAAGCUAUGCUAGUAGGCUACCUGCAAACUUGUAAAAGGAUUUGUUAAGGAUUUUGUAAAACUGAUGUUGGAAAGCACAAUGUUCAGGGCCGAUACAGUCUUUGGGCUGAGUUAGGCCAGAGCACUUUGUCGACAUCACAAGCCAUAUUUUCCCACCUUCAACAACCUGUUUACUCUCUGAACUGGCUUAUAUUGGUUGUGUCACAUCAUUUGAAACAAGUGAAAUCAAUUUUGAGUGGUUGUGUUUAGUCAAUGAAAUGGAAAAACAAUGGAAAACAGGCAGACAAUUAUGGUUGAAAGCAGCUGCUACAAUAGGCCGCCCCUAGUCUUGGUAGUUAUGGAAAUUCCCACGAUUCGAAAAUGAGUCACAAGCUGCGUCGUCAUUAGAAGUUGCUGUAUCAGGUGUCCAGUAGGAAUAAAGUCUCCCACGAGGAAGGAUUAACCGACUUGUCUGAACAACUAUCAACUACAAAGUAACAACCACAAGUCUGAAAGCGUUCAACUUGUUCAAACGUUGAUAUAUCCCAAUCCUUAGGAAACAAAAUCGAAAGAAAGGAAUUCGUAAUAAUCGGUUGGGCAUUAUAAAUCGCUGAACUACUGACGGAGCAAAUACUGUGGCAAAGUGUUGUAAACAAAAACAUGGAAAGUGAAAUCUUGAGGACUGUCUGCGCCGCGUUGACCGCCAUCGUUGUGUUCGUUCGAGCGGUGGACUCGUUUGGGGGUCUCAUGUAUGUCCAAGAUCACCAUGGUUACAUCUACAGUUAUGCUCCUCCUCACGUCAAUGUGACAACCGCAGAGUGUCGAGAGGACCCACUAUUCUGCCAUGAACUAUCAUAACUUUUUAUGAUUAUCAUCAUAAUGAUUUUGGUGUUUCAAAACCCAUUGACACUGUAUGACUAUGUUUAGCUUGUGUUCUGCUCCUCUCUCUUACCAACCGUCUCUGGAGGAGGGGAUCCCUCUCUGAAUUGCUCCUCCCAAGGUUUCUUCCAUUUUUUCUCCCGGUGGGAGUUUUUCUGGGAGUUUUUCCUUGUCUUCCUUGAGGGUUUAGGUUGGUUGAGGGGCAGUUCUAUGGGCGCAUGUGAAGCCCUCUGUGACAUGCUUGCGUGUAAAAAGGGCUAUACAAAUACAUUUGAUUUGAUUUGAUUUGAUAACUAUCUUGUGUUCAGCGCGAAUAUUUGUUGUCGAUCUUGUAGAUUUUUUGACGUGUCCUCAGAUGGGUUUUUUUCUCCAUACGCCUGUUUUCAUUCAUAAUAGAUCACAUGUUUUGUACAUUGGUAGUUGGGAUCGCAGGCUAGUUUAUUACUGUUUCAUAAAUUGACGUAUGAUAAACAAUUUGUUUCUACGGUUUCCUUAUUUAGAAAGUAAGAUGUGUAGGGUACGUCAUAGCCUAGGCUACUUGCAUAGGCUAGUUCAAAUAUUUUUGCAGCGGCCCAACACAUGCGUUCACUUAAUUCGCGUUUAUCACAAGUUCAACAUCACCGCGGGAGCCAAACAGUUCGCUUUUACAGCUAAAUGUAGGCUAUUUAAGCGAUCGAAGUAGACCGUGGCCAUCAGCGCCACAGUAACACAUUGUAAAGAGGUUUACAAUAACUUACUAUAACUACCAUGGCCAGAACAGGUCUAGAACUUCCGGUGAAGUUAGAAACUUGACUUUUAAUAAUCAGAACAGGUCAUGUCCCUAGCUAUUCCUCUCUUAAACCUACUCUCAGAUUGUGCAACUUCUCGCUUUUUUCAUCGACCGAUAGCAGGUCGCCCUCACUGAGAUCUAUCCCGUUUCCAGAUUUUUGUUAGAAACUGAGAAAGACAUGUUACAUUAUACUAUCCAUGGGGAACAAAUAUGACAGACCAAUUAGACUAUUUAUGCGAGUUAACAUAAACGACUAACAAGCAGCUGACAUAAUGUAGCAAACAAGGCUAGAUAGCUAGCUCUAGAGCUAGCCUAGCUACCUUUAAGUUGUGUAAGUUACCUUAGUAAUUGUCAAUGUAGCUCGAAACGUUAUUUGAACCCCUUCUCCCUCUAACUUGAAAGGCAGCAACACUAUGUACAUGGUUAAUUGUCAUUUUGGGAAGGCCAUCCGAACUCCUCAAAACGGCAUUGUGUUUGAAAACGAAGUAGGCCUAGGCCUACAGCUCUACCGGAAGUUGUUGACAUGGCUUGUGCAAUAUGCAGAAGGUGUUAGAACAUGAUAUUAACAUGCAUAUUCAUAUUUUCAUGCAUUUUCAUAUUAAAUCAUAUACCUGAACAGUUUAUACCACAUGGAAUGGAAGAACUAGGGCUUUCUAAUAAUGUAAAUAGCCUAUAUGUAGGCUACAUUACGCUGUGAAAUAUUUUACUGUUGAUUGUUCUUCUACAGGUACAGUCCUGCACUUUUUGUGGUUCAUGUUGUUUUAAUUUGCAACUUGUAUAACUGCAUGCUCUUAUGGGUCUUCCCUUUUGGCACUUGUUUAGUUUUUUCACAAUGUAUGCUUCAUGUUUUGGCUGCUUGCAAUGUUUGGGACUACCUUGUGGUUAUGAUCAGUGACCUAUGCUCUUUUGUAAAGCUCUCUCUUGGAAGUCGCUUUGGAUAAAAGCGUCUGCUAAAUGCAUAAAUGCACAUUUACAUUACAUUUAGUCAUUUAACAGAAGCUCUUAUCCAGAGCGACUUACAGCAAGUACAGGGACAUUCCCCCGAGGCAAGUAGGGUGAAGUACCUUGUCCAAGGACACAACAUCAAUUGGCACGGCCGGAAAUCGAACCGGCAACCUUCUGAUUAGUAGCCUGAUUCCACUCAGCCAUCUGACUCCCCCAUAUGUAUUAGCCUAUAAAAUGUCGCGCAGCAAUUUUUUUUACACAAAUGUUCUCUGUCCGCCAUACUUCAUCAGACAACUUUAUUUUCUAGCACUUUUAUUACAAGAUAGAGGAACACCUUAGAGCAUAUUAAAUAUAGGCUUACAGAUUUCUGUGGGCAGUGUAGAACAGCUGACAGAUUGGAAAUUAGAUUCGGUCAUCAUGAAUAAAAAGGCAAACUGUAAUUUAAAAAUAUAUAAGAAUGUUAAUAAUCAUUUACCAACAGUAAGCCUAUAUAAAUAUUUGGGUAUUAAUUCAUUUUUCAUAGGCUACUUUUAGGUUGGGAAUCGCUGCAGAGAUAAGCUACUACUGAGACUAAUGGUGGUGUUAAACAUCAACAGUUAAUACCCUUUCCAAUUCUUGCAAUAAAUGUAUGAAACGUC